rnacentral:lncRNA from 1 species
UCAAAAUAAAACUCUUCUAUAAGAUAGACAUUCACUCUAAUUAGAGUUCUAUUUAUAACAUUUCGUAAGUUUUAAAAGGAAAUAAAAGAAGUUCAAAUAUUCUUAUGUAAUUCGUGAAAAAAUCACCCUAUACUUUUCAUGGUUCUUUUACUGAGGAAUAUUUUAAUUUAAAUAUAAGACAUUUCAUUGCGCUAUUUAACUUGAAUAGGUAAAAACAGAAAAUCAAGAAUAAUAAAAAAGAGAAAAGACAACUUGCCUGUAUAAAAUUUGGUAGUCUAAACCUGACAUAUUACCCACUUUUUUUCUUCUUCCUCAAAGUUCUUUUCAUAGAAUAUCGGGAUUCUUAAAAAAAAUUGUUAGAAAAUUUUGUUUUCAUAUGGUUGAUAUUUUUUAUUUAUCUAAAGUAAAAUUUGAAGAAAAAAAACAACCUAAAAAGGAAAGAAGAAAAAAAGAAAUGAAAAAAGAAAGGAAAAUUAAAAGCUAUGUCCAUUUAGUAAGUAGCUCAUUACAAAAAUUGACCAAUUGAUAAAAUAUUACUAAUAUAAGUCAAAAUGGCCAAUUAGCUAUUUGUAGCAAAAAAAUAUCAAAUUGUUACUUUCUUUGGAGUGUGUGCUAUUAGAAUAGAUUGAGUAUAUAUUAAGGAGAUUGAAUCUCAGCUUUGAGAUGAUUUGGUGAAGGUUUAAGGUGGUUUGAAUUGAAAAUUCGAAGUAAAAACUCAAUAUAAAAAAAAUGAUACGUGUAUCACAUAUGUAUCAUAUUUGUAUAAAUUGUGUAUCACAUGUAUAUCCAUGUAAAGUCAAAAAAAUUUGACAUCGAUUUAAUUAUGAAUUUUGAUACAAAACUAGUCCAAAUAACCUCUAAUCUUCCUCAAAUUUUAUAUAUUGAUUUAUCUAUAUGUUUUUAAUGAAUUUUGACUAUACCCAUUAAAAAAUUCCUUUUUUGUUUCGAUUUUUAAAAUAUUGGCUAAAGAUUGGUAAGUUAAAAUUUAUAUGUAACAUUUCUGUAAGUUUCCCAAAAAGAAAAACUAUGCAUUCUUCUUCCUAUAAAAUUAAAAAAAAAAUAGAAAUUCAUGAAAAAUAACACGUGAACAUAUAAUGCGUAAAGAAAUGGAUAUUAAAAUCAAUAUUUCUCAUACCUUUGUAUGCACGCAUAAGAGUUGCCUGCAAUUUUUGCAUCACUUUUCCUCACAUUGAUAUUCCAAAAUUGAAUGCGAGAAGUAUUAUAGCACUUGUUCUGAGAACAUAUUCACUCAAUGGAUGGAAUUAUUCUAAUAUUAUGCAUAUAAUUGAUUAUCCCGAUAUAAUUGUGGUGAUUACUAAAGUAAAUUGAUUGAUAAUAUUUGCGUUUCUUAGAGAAAGCAAACGGCAGUCAGCAAUAAUUACAUGAUAAAUUCAAUUAAAUAAAUUACCCGCCCUAAACCGAUUGAAAGCAAACUCACAAAUUUGGAAUGGUUAAUUAGGAUUGUAGGACGUGACAUUCCGGUAGAGGUGUAAUUAAGAAAAUGUGGGACGUGACUUUUGGGUUCCUUAAAUAUCAUAUACUAUAAUAAAUGGGAAUAUGCAGAAAAAGUAGGUAAAAACUCAAAAAUUUGAGAAAAAAGAUAAAUGUAAUCCCUGGCCUCAGAAAGGUGCCAAGUUAUCUCUUUUAUGCCCUUAACACGGUCGCGUAUGUCUAAUGCCAGCUAACAAGAUUCACAACUAUAAAUACUAAGAGAAGAAACUCUACAAGGAGGUUGCUCUUUCUUUUUCACUUCCACUUCUAAAAGAAGAGAGGAUCUUUGUAAGGCUCUGAACCUCUUCAUGGAGAGGCAAACCAAAUCUAUAUCAUCAAUAAUAGAUCUCAACCCUUUUCUAAUUAACUGAUAAUUUGUCUCCUGUAUUUUUUAUUUGGUCUUUUAAUUAUUACAAUCUGCUAUGAUUGACACUCCAUUUAUUUUAAUAUAUUUAUGCUUAUAAAGUUUAUGAGAGCUUUGAGAUAAACAAUUAUGUUCAUAUAUCAACAAUAAUAAAAUAAUUACCGAUGAAGUUUUAAGAAAUUAAAUCAAUGGAAUUCAGUGUGAGUAUCAAAAUUCCUAACAUGUGGAGGGGAGAGUGGAGGAACGUUAACUGCGGCUUUUUUGUUGCUUUUAUUGUUGAUACGAAGGAGCACUUUGUUUCUUCAGUAAAAGGAGCGGUUCAAUAUGGUGACUUUUGGAUGUCCAAAUAUAAAUUUUAGCUUGAAAAGAUUUUCGGAAAAUAUUUUGAAACCAUUGCCUUCUUUGUUUCCUCAUUAUUAGGGGCUGUAAUGGAACCUAAUAUUGAAGUUUAAUAAUUAAUUAUGUUGAAUUAAAA